rnacentral:misc_RNA from 1 species
UACAGAGGGUGCAAGCGUUACUCGGAUUGACUGGGCGUAAAGGGCGCGUAGGCGGGUGUAUAAGUUUCGUGUGAAAGGCCAGGGCUUAACCUUGGGAUGUCGCGAGAUACUGUAUGCCUAGAGGGCAGUAGAGGGGAGCGGAAUUUCCGGUGUAGCGGUGAAAUGCGUAGAGAUCGGAAGGAACACCAGUUGCGAAGGCGGCUCUCUGGACUGACCCUGACGCUGAGGCGCGAAAGCGUGGGGAGCAAACAGG